rnacentral:rRNA from 1 species
CACACCGCCCGUCACACCAUGGGAGUGGGUUUCACCAGAAGCAGGUUGCCUAACCGCAAGGAGGGCGCCUACCACGGUGAGAUUCAGUGACGUGGGGUGAAGUCGUAACAAGGUACCC